GUGUUCGUAGAAAGGAUGGAUGGUUGGCAUCUCCCCUGAUAGGGACAGGAACAGCCUUUGGGUUUUACUUGUUAUCAGACACUAUGGUUGCUCAUAUAGAUGUUGUUCU
rfam:Capsicum annuum cultivar Zunla-1 chromosome 5, whole genome shotgun sequence